rnacentral:rRNA from 1 species
GACGAACGCUGGCGGCGUGCUUAACACAUGCAAGUCGAACGGUAAGGCCCCUUCGGGGGUACACGAGUGGCGAACGGGUGAGUAACACGUGAGCAACCUGCCCUUGACUCUGGGAUAACAGUUGGAAACAGCUGCUAAUACCGGAUACGACCCUCGAUGACAUCAUCUGGGGGUGGAAAGCGCUUAGCGGUCAAGGAUGGGCUCGCGGCCUAUCAGCUUGUUGGUGAGGUAACGGCUCACCGAGGCUUCGACGGGUAGCCGGCCUGAGAGGGCGACCGGCCACACUGGGACUGAGAUACGGCCCAGACUCCUACGGGAGGCAGCAGUGGGGAAUAUUGCACAAUGGGCGCAAGCCUGAUGCAGCAACGCCGCGUGCGGGAUGACGGCCUUCGGGUUGUAAACCGCUUUCAGUUCCGACGAAGCGCAAGUGACGGUAGGAACAGAAGAAGGACCGGCCAACUACGUGCCAGCCGCCGCCGUAAAAC